CUGUGUUGGGCUCCACAUUGGGUAUGAAGCCUUUUUUUUUUUUUUUUUUUAAAGGGAGGGGUGGUGAUUAUAAGGACUGUGGGGUGGGUUGGUUGCUUAGAGGUUAAGUGCAGCAGGAACACUGAAAGAGAAUGAGAGGCUAAAAUCAUCCAGCUAUCAGCUCAAGUUACGGUGUAAAAGCCAGAAAGCCCUCAUUAAAGCCCUUAAAAAGAGCUCUCCUGUAGCCAGACAGCAGAUGUGCUUAAAACCAAGCACAGGAUCUGACUGUGUGAACAGCAAACUCGCAAAGCAUGUGGAAUUCAUAGCCCCGGCAAGUCUCCAAUGCUCAAGUCAAGGUCCUGAUAGGGCAGGGGUACUGGAAUUGACCAUGUAUUCCAGGUAUGGAUUUGCCUUUUCCUGGCUGCAGUGCCUCAGCUAGCUCUACUGUCUGAGGGCUCGCAGAAUGUCUGAUUUAUUGUCAUGGAUCUGCAGGACAUUGCCUUGCCAAAAGACUCAUUUUAUAGCAAAGAAUGUAUCAUAAGAACCACGGGAUCUACUGGUUCCACUUCAUACCACAUCACCCAGAAGCUGUUUGCCUAAUGUACGAUUAGAAUGACUUCGUAAAAAUGCAGAUUACAGUCAGUGGGAGAAAUCUGGGAGGAAGAGACAGCAGGGAAACCUUUUGGGAGACUGGAAUCAUAUGCCAUCACCACCACCAUCACCACUACCACCGCCAUGGACGUUUGUAGAGUGGUUUCACUAUAUAAGUUGUUUUCAAACUGGGUUGUGGGGAAUCCUAAGGGCUCUGAGAACCCAGCAGAUUCUGCCGACAAUGAAAAACUUGGUGCCAAAUAAUAAAUAUUUAAAAACA